rnacentral:rRNA from 1 species
GUCUAGUACUCAGAGUUUGAUCCUGGCUCAGAACGAACGCUGGCGGCAGGCCUAACACAUGCAAGUCGAGCGCCCCGCAAGGGGAGCGGCGGACGGGUGAGUAACGCGUGGGAACGUACCCUUUGCUACGGAAUAGCCUCGGGAAACUGGGAGUAAUACCGUAUGUGCCCUUCGGGGGAAAGAUUUAUCGGCAAAGGAUCGGCCCGCGUUGGAUUAGGUAGUUGGUGGGGUAAUGGCCUACCAAGCCGACGAUCCAUAGCUGGUUUGAGAGGAUGAUCAGCCACACUGGGACUGAGACACGGCCCAG